rnacentral:lncRNA from 1 species
UACUAUGUUUUUUUUUGUAUGGUGAAAACUAUGUUCAAUUUACAAACUAUAUUUUAGUUUAUCAAAAUAUAUUUUUAUUGAUGUGUUCUGUCUCUGAUUCUUUCUUUUUCAGAUGUGCACUUGUGUCUUAGGCUUAUGCUUUGCAAAAGGUUCACCAUCGCCCUUAAGUUGCUGUGGGUUUUAUGGUUUUACUUCCAACCUGGCAUAUAAAUGCACUUAGUAUCUGAAGUUAUUUGUCAAUAACUGGUGAUCAGACUUUCAAACGAACACGUUUUUAAGGGCUGAGAAGGUGAAAGUUAGAAGUCUGCAGACUGCAACGUAAAUCAAUUUUCAACACAUGGUUUUCUGAAUAUAUUUAGUUUUCGAUUGAAAUGA